rnacentral:rRNA from 1 species
GACGAACGCUGGCGGCGUGCUUAACACAUGCAAGUCGAACGGAAAGGCCCUGCUUUUGUGGGUUGCGCGAGUGGCGAACGGGGGAGUAACACGUGAGUAACCUGCCCUUGACUUUGGGAUAACUUCAGGAAACUGGGGCUAAUACCGGAUAGGAGCUCCUGCUGCAUGGUGGGGGUUGGAAAGUUUCGGCGGUUGGGGAUGGACUCGCGGCUUAUCAGCUUGUUGGUGGGGUAGUGGCUUACCAAGGCUUUGACGGGUAGCCGGCCUGAGAGGGUGACCGGCCACAGUGGGACUGAGGUACGGGCCAGACUCCUACGGGAGGCAGCAGUGGAGAAUAGUGCACGAUGGGCGGAAGCCUGAUGCAGCAACGCCGCGUGGGGGAUGACGGCCUUCGGGUUGUAAACCGCGUUCGCCUGUGACGAAGCGUGAGUGACGGUAAUGGGUAAAGAAGCAACGGCUAACUACGUG